GCUUACGGCCAUACCACCCUGAGCGCGCCCGAUCUCGUCUGAUCUCGGAAGCUAAGCAGGGUCGGGCCUGGUUAGUACUUGGAUGGGAGACAGCCUGGGAAUACCAGGUGCUGUAAGCU
ensembl:rRNA 5S_rRNA 5S ribosomal RNA